CAAAAAUAAUAAUGAGAGGGUACAAUUACCCAUUCACAACAACCUUUUGUGAUUACCCAUCUUUUUGGCCUCUAGAGAGCAAUGCCUCACAAUGAUACGAUGUUGGCAUCAUUUCUCUUAGUUAAGUUCUUUCCCACCAUGCUGGUUUAGAUAGGGGUUUAAGCAUGACCUCACGAUGAUACGAUGUCGGCCACACUCGUUGCCUACCUUAACCUCAUCAAAUGUUUUAAAUAAACUCCUCCUGAGUAUAAGCAUGCACUUUGCACUCCCCCAUGAUAGGGUGAAGGCGAUGUACAAGUCAUAAACGAUUGGAGCCUACCACGGUGGAAGGCCACGAAAAAGUGUUCAAAGCACUCUUACGCUUUCAACUUAAUAUUGUAUGUUGGUUGAGGGAUUUUAAGGUCUCAUCAAUUUUAUUUAUUUAAUCAUAUUCAAAUAAAUAAUGUCCUAUUACAACUACUAGUCCAAAGUUAAUGAAAUUAGUAGCAUAUGAUAUCCCCACUAUUCGUUUUCAUAAACAAAUCAAUAUCAAAACAUUUUUCAAAAUAUUGGAGAUAUAUAUAACUACUAAUUGUUUUCAUUAUAGUUUAGUAGCGUAUGAUACUCCCACUAUUUGUUUUAAGAAAAAACAAAUCAAUAUCAAAAACGAAUUUUUCAAAUAUUGGAAGUAACUAUUACUACUAAGGUUUUUGCAUUCCUUUGAAAUUGGACUUAUAGUUAUCUUAGGCUCUUGGAUGACCAUGGACUUAUUAGGUUAUUGCAACAAUGAGCCAACAUUGUUGAAUAUAAACUCGGGGAGGUUGUGUCAAUUUAAUUACGUGCUUUUCAAUCCAAUUAAAACAUUUUCAUUGAGCCAUUAGAAAUGAAAGACAAUCAUUCAUUGCUAAUUAGGGCAUUGGACCCAUUUAAUCUUUAAUCUCAUGUCAAAACCCUCUUUUAGUUAUGUCUCCUUACCAAUAGUUAAAGAAACUCUAGUCUAGCACUAGAGGGAAUCAACUAACUAAAAGAGAUAAAGAAAUAAUAAGAAUUACAAACCGAUUUGUACAAAUUCCUACAAAUUACACAUACUAAGAGGGAGAGAUAGAUUAAUGUCAAAUGUGACAAGGUCCAACAAAAACAGUAAUUAAAACACAUUCCCAAGGUUCAAACAAUUUGAUUUUAGCCCCUUAUCUCAUAGCUCAAUUAUCGUUUAAGGCAUAAGUCCAUAGUCACCCUUUUUCUAACUACUUAAUCACAUUAAAUAAUCAAAAUGGAAUGCAACAUGAACAUUUAGAUUUAGUGCAUAUGGGCACAAAAGAAUUAUGAGUUUAAACAACUAACAAAAUUAAAAUAAAAUAUUUUAACUUUCUAGUUAGUAGGGGCCUAAAUGCAAAUAAGAAAAAGUUAGGGGUCAAACCGUAAAUACUCAAAAGUAUAAAAUAUCUUUUUCCAAAUUACAAAAGACCCCCUAAGUGGAUAAAUCCACUAGGGUGGCUGGCCACAUUAAGGGGAGAUGGGAAGUCUCACCCAUCUUGCUUUAAUUCAAUGCAAGGUAGAAAAGUCCAAAUUUGCAUGUCACUUAGUUUUGGCUUAAAAGGCUUUAAUGAAAAAGGUGAUGGAAAUCUCCUAGACAAGUCUAGGGUUUUAAAAGUUUUAAUAUGGUUAUGGAUGGUAAGAACAUCAUCAAAAACCAUAAAACUAUGCAUGAAAACCAAAUAAAACCAUUUUCACCCAAAACCAAACUAUGAACACCAAGAACAAAACCAUGAACACUUUUUCAAGAUUUGUGUAUUCUUGGUGAUUUUUCAAACCCAAAAACUAAAGUGACAAGGUUUCUACUUUCUAGCUUUAAAAUGAUGUGUGAGUGUCUUACAAUAAAACACAAACACAUGCCCAAAAAUCCCCAAAACCGUGCCAACCGCAAAGAACAAAACCCCAAAAUUUUGUUCAUGACUUAUUCUUCAUUCAUGCAUACAAAACAACUUUUACAUGCAUAUCUUUUUUCAACUCUUGAUUUAUAUUUUUCAACCAUUGAAAAACAAAAGAUAAACAUACUUUAAAUGAAGAAAUAAUAUGUCAAAUUAGUUCAAAACUCAAUUUUCAUUCAUGCAUACAAAACAUCUUUUGCAUACAUAUCUUUCUCAACUAUUGACUAACAUUUUUCAACUAUUGAAAAACAAAAGAUAAACAUAUUUUGAAUGAAGCAAUAAUUAUGUCAUACAUAAUAUUAAUACCCAUAUGCAUAAAAUCUAAAAGGACACAUUAUACAUAAACCUUUGGCUCUGAUACCACUUGAAGGGAAAAAUUAUGAGUUUAACACAUGGGAUUUCUAAAUGACUAGCAUGCAUAUACAAUUCAAAAUUUUUAUACAUGAGCAACGGAAGCAAUUUAUCAAAUAAUAUCAAAGCUAUAGCCAUGCAAAUCCCCUUCAAGGUUCAUAGGUUUAUAUAUAAUGCAUCUAAAACAUUCAAGUAAAGAACAAAGUGAAAGUAUAGAUCUAUACCUCUUGAUCUUGAUUUUAGACCAAGGAUGGACCUCCUCCAAGUCCUUUGCUCCUUGAAGUCCUUGAGCCUAGCCUUCCUCCUUGCCUUCUCCACUUUGUUAGUAAGAGUGCUCCAAGGUUCUCCUUUAGUCUCCAAAGGAGAAGACCUCUAAAUAUCCACACCCACUAGUGUAGUGAGAUGGAUGGAGGAAUAACCAAAAGGGUGAAAGAUUGUUAGCUAAAACACCCUCUAGGUGGCCGGUCUUUGUGGUUUUAGAGAGAUAUUUUCUUUUGCCUCUUUGUUGUUUAAAAACACACAAAAACCCUAAGGAUUAAAACUCUAUAAAGUUCCUUAUAUAGACAAAAAGAAACCUAGUCAACAACUUGACCAAAUAUCUCUCCCUUUCCACUUGCAAGGGCCGGCCCCUUUGUGUUGGUUUGGGCUUUGGGCUUUUAUAUAUUUCUAGUCAUCCAAUGCUUGAAUAAAAGCCCAAUGGGUUUAGGCCCAAUGGGCCCAAUUAAACCCGAACG
rnacentral:lncRNA from 1 species